AUGAUUACUAUGUUUAGCAUCUUUUCAUGUGCUUAUUGACUAUGUAUAUGUCUUUUUUGGAGAAAUGUCUAUUCAAGUCCUUUGCCCAUUUUUGAGUCAGGUUGAUUUUUUGUGGUUGGGUUUUGGAGUUCUCUCUAUAUUCUGGACAUUAAUCCCUUAUCAGAUAUAUUAUUUGCAAAUAUUUCCUCCCAUUCUGUAGUUAUCUUUUUACUCUUUUCAUAGUGUCUUUUAAUGCACAAAAUUCUUAAUUUUCAUGAAGUCCAAUUUAUUUAUUUUUUCUUUUGUUACCUGUAACUUUGUUGUCAUAGCCAAGAAAUCAUUGACAAAUCCAUUGUUGUCUCCAAAGUACUUUUGCAUACCUUAUUUCAUUUGUGCCUCAAAGAUAUGUAAAGGAGAUUUAUUUCAAUUCAGUGAUCAUUUACAGAGUGGGUUUUGUACUAGAUUUUGGGGAAACCAAAGGUAAGACAAGGACCCUGACCUCAAGUAACAUUGGAAUAUACAACCAGAGUGUAAAUAUGAAAACAGUGAUUAGGGGAGAGUCACAGACUACUGGAAUGUGGUAAUGAUAGAUAGCAAUGGCAUUCAUAGUCUGUUUUUGUUAUAUCUUUUUCUUUUUCUUUUUCCCCCCAGUUUUAUUGAGAUAUAAUUCACAUAUAACAUUGUCUAAGUUUAAGGUGUACAAUGUGUUGAUUUGGUAUGUUAUGUUUUUUAUUUCAAGGAAGAAUUGAUGUUUUUUACACCACUUUGAAAUUAUUAUCUCACAAUUUAUAUAGCUGACUUGAUAUACUUUUGAAAGUUAUGUUUUCCAUAGUUAUAAUUUUUUCCUCUGAAAACCCUGAAUGAUAUGUUAAAACAUUCAGCCCGGGCCACCCUCCUUGAUGUUGUCUUUGUGGAAGGAGUGAUUAAUCUAUGUGCAUAAUUUGACUCCUUGCAUCCAAAAUGCAAUUUUAUUUAUUGGAAAUAUUUAAGGUAAUUAAUUCUUUCUAGGCUUGUGUUUUUAUUUUUAGAUCUGAAAAAGAUGAAGAGAAAUAAAAUGUGACAAGUCUAGUGGUUGAAGUAUGUGAAACUUCAAACAUCAAUAAAAACAAAAGCCCUUAAGAUGAAGAACAGAAAAUCUGUGAUUAUUAUCAUUCUUAGCUCCACAGAGGUGUUGAAGUGAUCAGGGUAGCAAUAACAUAAUUAAGUGGAAAUAUAUUUUUAAAAUUCAAGAAAUAGAGAAACCAUUGCUUUAGGGUAUGUCUCUUAUAUACACAGAAAAGUUUGGCUUUUUUCCAGUUAAGAACCAAUGAUGAAUAAAUAGUCCAUUCAUAUUAAUUACACUGAGUGCUCCUUUGAGCAUUCAUACAUAUCGUCUACAUCAUAUACAUAUUACUACAUAAUACAUAAUAAUAGAAAUAAUAUGUAAUACAAAAUAAUACAUGAUUAUACAUAUUAACUACACUGACACAAAUCUGUGUAACAAAAGAAAGUAUACAAAUUUAUUGCAGAUUCUUUUGUUCCUUGUGUAGAAUUCCUUACUUCAUGUGAAAGUGACCCUGGAGCCACUACAACAAAAGCUUUGUUAGGAGUUCGUUUUCUUUUGGAAUGGGCUCUCUGUAUUCUGGUAAUUUAUUCUAACCGAAUAGCAACAAUGGAACUCUUUAGAGCAAUGCUACUGUCAAAUCAGGGAAAGCUAGCUUUCAGGGUGAUCCUGAGGCUCUGCUGUCUCUUUACCAAGGCCAAGUCAAGCUUUUCCACUGGAACUGGCCUUUGGAGGACAGAUUUGCAAUCCCUGGUAGGAGGCGUGUGUUAACAUUGCCUAGUAAUCAUUUCUGUUUGCUUUUGUGGAAUUCAGCUGCAGAUUUUAUCAGUGAUUACCCGUGAUCCCACAUGUGGGGACAUUGUGAGAUUUUUGAUAAUUUUUUGGUAAGUCUCAUGUUGGUACAAUAAUUUGGCUUCCUCUUUUGUGCAGGAUUUGGAAAUGAAAGUGGCAUUCUAUAGUUGAAAGAAGUUUUGUCAUCAGUGAUUUGGGUUCAAAUCCUGACUCUGAGUAGCAGUGUAACUCUGGGCAGCUCUAUCAAGAUUUUGGACAGAGUAUGUCAGAAUCAUGUCUAUAAGAUUCAGUGUGGACUAAUGCAAAGUGAGCCUGGACUGGAAGUCAGAAGAACUGGAUACAAGUUCUAAUGUUAUCUGAGAGCAGGCCUCUGUUAAUAGGUCUUGUUACCGUGGCAGAGACAACGGGAAAAUAUAAGCUAAUCAGAAGCAUUGUGCACAACAAUGAAACCUUGCAACUCUAUGUAUAUUGACGUGUGUGUGGGGGGGCAUAUCAGGUUACUCAAGAUGGCUAAAACUGACUGAAUCAGUAACCUCUAAUCUGUAAAAAACAGCAGACUCCCUAUAAUUCCUUAAAAUAAAUGUGGGUUUGAGAGAC